UACGGAGGGGGGCUAGCGUUGUUCGGAAUUACUGGGCGUAAAGCGCACGUAGGCGGCUUUGUAAGUUAGAGGUGAAAGCCCAGGGCUUAACCCUGGAAUUGCCUUUAAAACUGCAUCGCUAGAAUCGUGGAGAGGUGAGUGGAAUUCCGAGUGUAGAGGUGAAAUUCGUAGAUAUUAGGAAGAACACCAGUGGCGAAGGGCGGCUCACUGGUCCGGUACUGACGCUGAGGUGCGAAAGCGUGGGGAGCAAACAGG
rnacentral:rRNA from 1 species